UACCCGAUUCAAAAUAUAUGAAGAAAUACAUACAUUUAUAAAAAAUAUGUGGAUGAGGAAUUCAUGGGAAUGGAAAUAAUGCGGGUUAAGGAUCUGAACAGGGAGACUGGCAUCCCAAAGACCUUUGUGAAAGUUUUUUUCAAUGGAAGUCAUCACAAGGAGCCUCUGUAAAGUGUCAACUAAACCAAAUCAUUAUUAGUCACGCUGCUUGUAAUCAAGUGGCGUAGCCGGCAGGAUAACUGCACUGAAGAAUCGAAAUUAUGACCGAAAGGCAGGACCUCAACACCGUGCUGCAGGGCAUGAACGCCCAGAUCCAGUCCCUGCAGCAAGCACAGGCUACUACUACCCGGGAGCUGGAGGCCGCGAAGGCGAAACUCGCGGAUGCCGAGAGGGAAAAAAGACGCUCCGCCAUCAUAACCUGACCGCACCACG